GAGCGGUAGAGGAGCGUCGUGUAAGCCGAUGAAGGUGUGUUGAGAAGCAUGCUGGAGGUAUCACGAGUGCGAAUGCUGACAUGAGUAACGAUAAAGGGAGUGAAAAACUCCCUCGCCGGAAGACCAAGGGUUUCUGUUCGACGCUAAUCGGAGCAGAGUGAGUCGGCCCCUAAGGCGAGGCCGAAAGGCGUAGUCGAUGGGAAACGGGUCAAUAUUCCCGUACCGGACAUGAUUGCGAUGGGGGGACGGAGAAGGCUAGGUGAGCCAGGCGUUGGUUGUCCUGGUGAAAGUGAGUAGGCUUGGGUCUUAGGUAAAUCCGGGACCCUUCAAGGCCGAGACACGAAACGAACGGACCACGGUCCGGAAGUCAUUGAUGCCACGCUUCCAGGAAAAGCCUCUAAGCUUCAGAUCAUGUGCGACCGUACCCCAAACCGACACAGGUGGUCAGGGUGAGAAUCCCAAGCGCUUGAGAGAACUCGGGUGAAGGAACUAGGCAAAAUGGUGCCGUAACUUCGGGAGAAGGCACGCCGGCGUAGGGUGAGAGGACUUGCUCCUUCAGCCCGAACCGGUCGAAGAUACCAGGUGGCUGCAACUGUUUAGUAAAAACACAGCACUCUGCUAACGCGCAAGCGGACGUAUAGGGUGUGACGCCUGCCCGGUGCCGGAAGGUUAAGUGAUGGUGUUAGGAUUCGUCCGAAGCUCUUGAUCGAAGCCCCGGUAAACGGCGGCCGUAACUAUAACGGUCCUAAGGUAGCGAAAUUCCUUGUCGGGUAAGUUCCGACCUGCACGAAUGGCGUAAUGAUGGCCACGCUGUCUCCACCCGAGACUCAGUGAAAUUGAAAUCGCCGUGAAGAUGCGGUGUACCCGCGGCUAGACGGAAAGACCCCGUGAACCUUUACUAUAGCUUCACACUGGACGCUGAUGUUGCCUGUGUAGGAUAGCUGGGAGCUUAGAAACCCGGACGCCAGUUCGGGUGGAGCCAACCUUGAAAUACCAGCCUGGCAUCAUUGGCGUUCUCACUCAGGUCCGUGAUCCGGAUCGAGGACAGUGUGUGGUGGGUAGUUUGACUGGGGCGGUCUCCUCCCAAAGAGUAACGGAGGAGCACGAAGGUACCCUCAGCACGGUCGGACAUCGUGCAAUGAGUGCAAGAGCAUAAGGGUGCUUGACUGCGAGACAGACACGUCGAGCAGGUGCGAAAGCAGGUUCUAGUGAUCCGGUGGUUCUGUAUGGAAGGGCCAUCGCUCAACGGAUAAAAGGUACUCCGGGGAUAACAGGCUGAUACCGCCCAAGAGUUCACAUCGACGGCGGUGUUUGGCACCUCGAUGUCGGCUCAUCACAUCCUGGGGCUGAAGUCGGUCCCAAGGGUAUGGCUGUUCGCCAUUUAAAGUGGUACGCGAGCUGGGUUUAGAACGUCGUGAGACAGUUCGGUCCCUAUCUGCCGUGGGCGUUGGAUGUUUGAGAAGAGCUGCUCCUAGUACGAGAGGACCGGAGUGGACGACCCUCUGGUGUUCCGGUUGUCACGCCAGUGGCAUUGCCGGGUAGCUAUGGUCGG
rnacentral:rRNA from 1 species